AAGUACAAAGUACUGCACGAAACAUUCAAACUUGGGAUUAUUUUUUUUUUUCCUACUAAGAGUCUGAAACCUCAAAGGCAGCCUAAUCACUAUACAGAGAAAGGAGUUUUUUUUUUUUGGCAUACGACCAAAUUUUUGUCCUUACAAUUGUGGUUCCCCAUGGCUCAGAUCGAUUGCUCCUUUUGUCAGUAUGUGCCAAAUAUAUUACCCAAAAGGUAAAAAUGCAGCAAAAAUAAAUCAAAGCAGAAUGGCUGUCUCUGAAGACAACUUUGACUUUCUUCCGCUGGACUCUGACUGAUUUCUUGAGAGCCCAGAGUUCCUGAGAGCAAUCCGAGGAGGACUUUAUUGAAUCUUUGACUACAGAAAUUCAGAGUUUACAACCUGAAGUCCAAUCUUCUCCUUUUGCAGAUGAAGAAAGGGAGUCCCAGGGAGGGAAAGAGACUUGUGUAUGAUUUCACUACUAAUUAGAGGCAGAUUGAGAUGAGAAAAAUCCUGGGGCAGCUUUCUUUCCCUUGCAGACACAUAGUCUGUUCCAAGAGAAGCCAGUGUGGUCCUGUCCCCAAAGACCUUUGCUUUUAUCAAUUCUUUCUGCUCAUGGCUCUCAAAUCAGGGGUUUUACUGAUGAAACAAGUGGACAAAGAGUUUAAAACGGCCCUUGCGCUCAGGAAAUGGGCACACUGGGCUCCAGAGUUAUUGCCUGGAAGUGCCCCACGUGGCAGGAAGCUUCUUCCCUUUGCCUGGUUCUCCUCUGAACCCCAGCUUCAGUCAAAUUUACUUCUCCUCAGGGUCCUUUUAGUUUCGCUUAAUGAGACUGGUGGUGGCUGAGUGUUUGAUUGACACUUGGUUAUGUACAGCUUGUAUUCAUCUUCCUGAGAAAGGACAUUGCACAAGAAAGGAUCGCCAAGGGCAACCGUGGUGGCAUUUCUGAGAGAGCAGCGGCAUUCCCAGCAAUGGAAGGAAAUACCAACGGCUGACCAGCGGAUGGAGGGAUGGUGGGAGGCACAGUUCCUUAAGGAAUUAAAAUAAUCCUAUGCAGGGAGACCUAGGGUUCUUUUUUAACCACCCAUCAGAUCUGCUCACUUUUUACCUACCCUUAGUUCAGAUUUCUGAGUCAAGUGUCGGCUGGAGGGAAAUGCUCGCGGGAGUAACAUCCAGUCGGUUGCAAAUGCGUCUCAACAUCUCAAUUGCUGUAUUGGGUCCAACCACACUUCACUGUCAGAUGCAGGGACUCACUGGAGUCCCUCAGCUAAGAAAUGCAAAUCCUUGCCUGCCUAUAGCCAGGUCCCAAGCAAUGCCUUUGGAGGCUUAGCCAGCACAGGGUGACUUGGAAUAGAGCUGGCUGGGCGUGUGGCCUGGCCGGGACCGGGGAACUGGCAAGCUGGCUGGAAUCUCUCCUGCUUCAGGCCAGUGACUAUUACUUUUGGUAGGCCAAAAGUAAAGAAAAUGGUUUUAACUCACUUUGCAUCCUCCGUACUGCCUGGUGAGAGGGUGGGCAAGAGAAAUAGUUGUUCUGUGUUGGUGGCGCUUUUGGUAGCUCUGGCUAAGCUGCUGCCCAUGCCCACCCUCCCUUUCUCCACAGCCCCACCUCCCUGCCAUUUUCUCUUUAGAACAGAACUCUGGGCACGGCACGUAACUAUGCACGUAAGAGAAUAUAUCUUCUUGUUUCAGUUCUCGGCGGACACAACAUCUUUGUUUGUAUGUGGUGCUGAGGAUCGAACCCGAGCCACACUCAUGCCAGAUGAAGAAACUGAGGCCCAGAGAAGCCAAGCCAUAUCUCAAAAGUUUGCUCAGCAAGUUAGUGAUAGAGCUGAGGCUAAAACCCUGAUUCCUCUCCCAUAACCUAUUGCUGCUUCAUCAAAGAAGUUAUUGGUAAUAAAGAAAAUGAGUGGUAUCCUAAGUGUU